rnacentral:rRNA from 1 species
AUUGAACGCUGGCGGCAUGCCUUACACAUGCAAGUCGAACGGUAACGCGGGGCAACCUGGCGACGAGUGGCGAACGGGUGAGCAAUGCAUCGGAACGUGCCCAGUAGUGGGGGAUAACUGCUCGAAAGAGCAGCUAAUACCGCAUACGACCUGAGGGUGAAAGCGGGGGAUCGCAAGACCUCGCGCUAUUGGAGCGGCCGAUGUCAGAUUAGGUAGUUGGUGGGGUAAAGGCCCACCAAGCCAACGAUCUGUAGCUGGUCUGAGAGGACGACCAGCCACACUGGAACUGAGACACGGCCCAGACUCCUACGGGAGGCAGCAGUGGGGAAUUUUGGACAAUGGACGCAAGUCUGAUCCAGCCAUGCCGCGUGCGGGAAGAAGGCCUUCGGGUUGUAAACCGCUUUUGUCAGGGAAGAAACGCUCUGGGUUAAUACCUCGGGGUAAUGACGGUACCUGAAGAAUAAGCACCAGCUAACUACGUGCCAGCAGCCGCCGUAAUAC